rnacentral:rRNA from 1 species
UACGUAGGGUGCGAGCGUUAAUCGGAAUUACUGGGCGUAAAGGGUGCGCAGGCGGCGUCGCAAGUCAGGCGUGAAAUCCCCGGGCUUAACCUGGGAAUGGCACUUGAAACUACGAUGCUGGAGUAUGGCAGAGGGGGGUGGAAUUCCACGUGUAGCAGUGAAAUGCGUAGAGAUGUGGAGGAACACCGAUGGCGAAGGCAGCCCCCUGGGCCAAUACUGACGCUCAUGCACGAAAGCGUGGGGAGCAAACAGG